CCAGGCGCGAAAACUUUGCAAUAAGCGAAAGCUUGACAGGGCUAUCCCGAGUGCCAUCCGCUGAGGAAGGCUUUUACCCAGUCUAGAACGCUGGGGGAAUAAGGAGAGGGCAAGUCUGGUGUCAGCCGCCGCGGUAAUACCAGCUCUCCGAGUGGUGUGGAUGUUUAUUGGGCCUAAAGCAUCCGUAGCUGGCUAAGUUAGUCCCUUGUUAAAUCCACCGAAUUAAUCGUUGGAUUGCGGGGGAUACUGCUUGGCUAGGGGACGAGAGAGGCAGACGGUAUUUCCGGGGUAGGGGUGAAAUCCUAUAAUCCCGGGAAGACCACCAGUGGCGAAGGCUGUCUGCUAGAACGCGCCCGACGGUGAGGGAUGAAAGCUGGGGGAGCGAACCGGAUUAGAUACCCGGGUAGUCCCAGCUGUAAACGAUGCAGGCUAGGUGUUUGGACGGCCACGUGCCGUUCUAGUGCCGCAGGGAAGCUGUUAAGCCUGCCGCCUGGGGAGUACGAUCGCAAGAUUGAAACUUAAAGGAAUUGGCGGGGGAGCAC
rnacentral:rRNA from 1 species